AUGAAAACAGGACACCUUGUACUGAUCCAUACCAGCAACUUAUGAACAGUCGAAUCAAAUUGUAGAGAAACAAUACGAUGUACAUUGCGCACACAAAAUACUCAAUUCGUUAUCUUAUCAGUCUGCCAAAUGUACGUUUGUCGCUAUUUACUAUCAAGUGAGCAAGCAGACGUGAAGUCUUACAAAACGCAAGAGCGCCCAAAUAAAGGCUAAAGGCUGAAUCUAUGUACAUAUAUUCAUAAGUAAAUAUGGAACUCGCGGAUCACUCAAUAUUGAUUUCAGUAACGGUUUAUAACUCAAAACGAGUGCAAGCGCAUAACAGUUUCAACGAUCACACAGUAAAGACAUACUACGAAUAUUCUAAGUGCUUGCUAAAGAAAGUUUUAUAAAAUCAAUAAAAAUUCUAACACAAAUAUACGAAAAUGUCAGAGACUAAAACCACAAAGUGUGCUUUAAAGCUAUGCUUUCUUCACCGCAAUAAGCUCAAUAUGUUGUUGUUCGUGCUGUUACUUUUCCAUAUAAGUGUCGGUAACGCGACGGAAACAGAUACUGCUAUCGAUCCCGCAAAGCGAUACUCCUUCACAACAAAGCCACCGCCCAUAGAUGUGGGCCUUGCAACAAAUCACACGCAAGAAACGAAAAAAAUAACACGUUCGCUGCGUCUUCCGAACACCACAUUCCCGCUACAUUAUCACCUACAUAUUACAACGCACAUACAUCGGGAAAUUUUCGAGUUCACGGGCAAUAUGACUAUUGACAUUGAAAUACGCGAAUCGACCAACGAAAUUGUAUUGCAUGCAAAAAAUAUUACCGUUACGGCGAUUACGAUGCUUGAACUGCACACAAACGAAAGAUUGCUUGACCUCACCUACACGUAUAAGAAAUAUGGCAGCUACUUGAUCAUACAUCCGAUUGAAAACUAUGUCUCUUUCGAAGCGGGUCAACGUUAUCGAGUGGAAAUUUUAUACAAGGGUCUCUUGCGCGAGGACUCAUUCGGUAUCUAUUGGAUGACCUACAGUGAUGAAAAAAAUGCCACAGUUUAUGUGACGGCAACGCAAUUUGAGCCGACUAGUGCACGCUUGGCCUUCCCCUGUUACGAUGAGCCAUCAUUCAAGGCGAACUUCACAAUAAGCCUGACGCACAGCAACAAUUACACGGCCAUCUCCAAUAUGAUGGUGCGUCAAAUUGAACCGAGCCUUGGCGCAAAUGCUGCACUCGAUGACAACAGCGUUGAUGACACAAUGGUGACAACCACAUUCCACACCACUCCACCUAUGUCGACAUACCUGGUCGCAUUCGUCAUCUCCAAUUUCGUGUAUAUUUCGGAGGAAUAUCGCGGCGUUCAGCAACGCAUCUUCACCUCGCCACGCGUCGCUGAUAAAGGCCGGAAGGCUUUGAAGAAUGCCGUUCGUACGGUCGCCAUGUUGGAGGAUUACUUUGGUGUCGAUUAUCCGUUGGCGAAAUUAGAUCAUGUCGCGCUGAAGAAUAACUACGGUGCGGCCAUGGAAAACUGGGGUUUAAUUACCUAUAAGGAGGACAACCUGGCGCAGACGGAUGACGGAGAUAUGCACAAAAACUUGAAGGAUGUGAUAACACAAAAUCAUGAAAUCGCGCAUCAAUGGUUCGGCAACUUAGUAUCACCGCAGUGGUGGACAUAUGCAUGGCUUAAUGAGGGUUUUGCCACCUAUUUUGGUUAUUUAGUCACCGAUUUACUUUAUCCCGAGUAUAAAAUCAUGGACUUCUUUUUGAUCGAAAUUGCUGAGCGCGCUUACAGUUACAACUAUAUGACCGUACGUCCGAUGACUUACUAUGUGGAAAAUGAGACUGCAAUUUUGUCAACAUUUGACAUCAUAUCCUAUCACAGAGCCGCUUGUGUGAUCAAAAUGUUCCAUCACGCUUUCAACCAGAAAACUUUUGUACAUGGCAUCAGCCAAUAUUUGCGCAAAUAGUAAGUUCUACUUCUGUGAACAAAAGUUUCAGAGAUAUUUUAAAAGAACUGUUCAAUAACAUUUAAUAUGAAGAAAUUUUCUCCCCUCUCUAAAGUCAGUAUACUUUUGCGAACGAAUUGAAUCUUUUCGAUGCAAUACAAACAGCCGUGGCCGCGGAUCCUACCUUUAGUCAGCAAGCCUGGAGUCAAGACGCCGUGCGCGACAUAAUGCUCUCAUGGACGCACAGUGAAUGGAUACCGAUCGUCAGCAUAGCACGCGAUUAUGUAAGCAAUACCAUAACAAUAAAGCAACGUUCGAAAGAUCAGCACUCGCGUGAACACUGGUGGAUACCGUUGAAUUUCGCCAGCGCUUCCGCAGCAGAUUUCGACAAUACACGUGUCGAUUACUUUAUGCCGCCACUGGAGGAGGUAACAUUAAACGCCAGCCAAUUGGGUAUUGAGUUGGGCAUCGACGAUUGGCUAAUCGUGAAUAAACAGCAGACGGGCUUCUAUCAUGUACUCUACAAUGAUGCAAAUCUCUGGCUGAUCGCUAAGCAAUUGCACGACAAUCACACGGUCAUACAUGCACUUAAUCGUGCAGCUAUCUUUCAAGAUCUAGGACCACUAAUCGAGAAUAAUGAAAUACAAUCGGUAGAUGUGAUAUUUGAACUAUUAAAUUAUCUGCAAUAUGAGGACAAUCUCAUGCCAUGGAAUCAAGUGGCAGACACAAUUAUCUCACUUGGCAAGAAUCUCUUUGGUACGCCCUCAUACAAAUUGUACACACAUUUUGUGCGCCAACUGAUUCGCCCAAUGUUUCGACGACUCUACGAAAUGCCGUUGCAUGAGAAUCUCACAAACACCGAAACGCUGGCUAGACAAAAGAUUAUGGAAAUGGCUUGCUUCGUCGAUCUUAAGGAGUGUCUCGACUACACUCACAAUUUGGCACACGAAUAUAUUUUCGGUAAUGUCAAAUUCGCCAACGAUAUGAGCUACUAUGCCAUGUAUGAGACCAUUCUCUGUUUGGGCGUUAGAUAUCUGAGCGAUGAGGAAUUCAACGCCAUACUGAAACUAUUCGGUGAAACGCAACGCGACACGUUGUGGUAUGAUGAUCUUAUUUACUCGUUGCGAUGCACGCAAAGUAAUUCCCACCUACAGCAGUAUCUCAAUUUCUUGUUGGGCGAGAACUCGACCAAAAGCAUUAUGAACGACAACGAGUCCAUGAUGUAUUUAUUCUAUUUGUUCAAAAGUAAUCAUGUCGCACGCCCUGUUAUGUGGCAGUUCUUUGAAAACAAUUAUGGCGUGCUGUGUCGUUCGCAACUGUUCGUCGAAAACUUUAACCGCAUUGCGGAAUACCUGAAGCGUUCGAACUACGAACAGUUUCUGGAUUUGCGUAAUAAGAUUGCCGCUGAACUAGCGAAAGAGAGCCGCGAAAAAACGCUUAUUGCUGCAAAUUCACCGCGUAUUGGUCGGAAGGUAAAAAUCAGUGAGACCUUCCUGGAGAAAUUCAAUAAUCAAAUCUACGAGUGGCUCAGGCGACAUCAGGAAACCACAUAUGCGGCGUCUUUGGGUGCGCGCAGCAGUGCCACACAGAUUAGUCAUCUGUUUCGCGUGGCGGGGAAGUUCCUACGUAAAGUGCUCAUCAAGAAAGGCAGAUGAGCCGUUUAGUUUACAUUUAACUUCUUUUAUAAAGAAUGGAUUAAACAUUUAUUAAACUUUUAUUUAAAAAA